UGGCAGCCUUGACUUUGAGGUUGAGAAUUUUUAUCCUGGCUUUGCCUAGUUAUCAAUGCAGCUGAUAUGGUCAUUCGGUGCUUCAGAAAAGCAUGCAACCUUAUUCAUCUUUGGUGAUUCACUUUAUGAUCCUUGAAAUAAUAACUACGUAAAUACCAUCACUGUUUUUCAGGCCAAUUGGUUCCCAUAUGGUGAGACCUUCUUUAAGUAUCCAACUGGCAGAUUUUGCGAUGGACGUUUGAUCACAGACUUUAUUGCUGAGUAUGCCAUGGAACUUUUAAAGGCCACGAAAGGUCUAUACAAUCUCGGGGAUCUCUUCCAAGAAUUGUAAGUCUUUUGCAUCAAUGUAACAUGCAGCCCAAAUUGUGCACAUUAACUAUGAAUUUGAUGUAAACUUGUGCCUUUCAAACUUUCAGCCUUUGGUUAUACAUUAAAAUAAAUUCUCCUAAUGUAUUUUCAUCAUGUUGUAUUUUCUUUUUUAAGAGAGGCAAUAUUUAUGUCUCUCCCUCUUUUUUCUUGUAUUUUCUUUUUCAAAGGGAGUUAGGUGUAUGUUCCCCCCUCUUUUCUUGUAUUUUGUUUUUUUCUUGCUCUAUAAAGUUUUAUGUUUUCA